CGAUUGCCUUUCCCUGUUUCCUGAAGGACCCUUUGCAGUACGGAGACGACGCAAACAGCAUUGAUCCCAUUCAGCAGCAUUUAACAGUUGAAACGAAUAGCUUAAUUAUGCAGCCGUUUUCGGUGCGCGUUGCAUGGCUGGGAUCAUUGGCAGAACUAUUACAUUUUUAUGAACUCGUAAACUCUGGGAGUCCAGACUGCAGCAUAUGCUUCCAUUUCCAGUACAGGUUAAUAAGGAACUCACACUCUUUUGUCGUCCGUCAUUUCGCCCGCAAAGGUUAAAUUGUAACGCAUUUAAAUGAACAGCUUAGUGCAGGUCUGAAGGAUUACAUCCAUGUAGACCAAUGGUUAAUAGUGAAAAAGAAAUCAAACUAAGGUAGAUGAUCUUAUCAUUGAAGGCUUGGGGGCAGCAGCAAGGCCAGAUUAAGGUGGCUGGGGGGCCUGAUUCAGUACUCCAGAAAGAGUUCCCCCUUCCAGCUUAAUCACGAAUUUGUGACAUUUUGGUUGAUCCUAAUAAAGGUAUCUAUAAACUUA